rnacentral:lncRNA from 1 species
GGGACCCCUAAAACAGAAAAGAGCUUUGGCCCCCCACUCUGCAAGAGUAAAUGAUGUUAUGAGUAUUGGGGGGUUGGGGGAGAAUAUGAUGACACUGAUUCUCUCACCCUGGGACUUGUAUUGUAUUGUACAUUAACAUUAUGCACAAGUUACUUUCCUAUACCUAUUUAUCGAAAAUUCUUUACCCUGAUGCCCAAGUUUUUGGUCCUUUUGUCCUAGAAUUAACAAUGUGACAACUGACUACUCCAUUAUAUUGCACUAACUACACUACCUAUGCCCCUAGCCUUUUCUUUCAUAGCUAUGAAUGAAUGAAAUACUCCCCCUCUCGCUUCCACAGGAGAAAUCAAAUAAAUUCAAGUUCAAGGACAAAGACUCAGUACUGACAUAAAAGGACACCCUGAUGAGAAGGUUAGCACAUAUUUGGAUUAUUCAAAAUCCGGUAAUAACUCCUCAUAAUUUGGCUUCCAUUUUCCAACUCUAAGUUUGUACACACGCCUAAUUUGUUAGUUGAAUCUGACAUUAGAGACUUGUGUUGGUUAGUGAUUGGAUUAAUCUAAUAACUAAUAGUGUGUUUCCAACUGAGGUCAAACUGCAAACUACAAAUAAUGUAUAUAGCUUCACUAUUUUCAUGUCAAAAACAAUUUUGGAGUGCGAGAAAAAGAUGUGGAGGUGAAUCCAAACAUUUGGGCUAAGUUUAGAAUAGAGAUUGCGCAAAGAUAGCAGUGGUCAAUAGUAAAAGUUUAAACAAAGGUCUUGUCAAUUUUUUGACUUAACGACACAUGUUAAGAAAAUUAAAAGUGAAGAUUUUAUUUUGAAAAAAUAAUAUUUUCACCUUUAAGAAAUUGAAUGUAUGACUUUUAAGAUUUAUAUUCUAUAUUAAAUUCCUUAACAUAUGUAUGUAUAUGACUAUGGUGUCUUUAAUAUGACAACUUUUUUUAGGUUGUUCAAAUAUCACCUCUUAGCAUCAAAUAUCUACUUCGUAUUUGUCUUAACAUUAGAGCUUAAAAACUCUCUUUAAUUUGUAUAAUUUAAAAAUUGAAAAUGCAAAAGUUUGAAAAUGCACACAAUGGUUGACCCCUACACCAAGUCAAUGAAAAAUUGAAUAGUCAAGGGUCUCUCUAAUGGAGUAUUGAUUACAAAGAGCCAAUUAAGGGAAUGUCUUUCUUGGAUGCCCUAUAUCUUAAAUGCUUUGAGAUUUCCUUAUUUUUCUUCUAAUUUUCUCUUAAUAAACAAUUAAUUUUAAACAUAAUUUAUUUUUACUAUAUCUUCUUUUCUAGUUCCUGAAUCAAACAAUGUUAUUUUUUCAUCUAAAUGAAAUAAUUGUAAGUUUAGAAUCUUGAGUGGAUUUAUUCAGUAUAGUUGAAUAGAAAAAUGAUAUUUGUACAUUCAUUUUGCAACAAUUUUUUGACAAUUUUCUCUCUAAUAUUUAUAUUAUAUUUAUAUUCUCUCUUUUCCUUUUUUUCUAUUAUUUUUUACCAAUAGAAAUAGAGAAAAUUGAAGUUGUCACCAAUGGUUGUUCAUAUAUCAUUGGUCAGUUCAAUAAGCU